rnacentral:rRNA from 1 species
GACGAACGCUGGCGGCGUGCCUAAUACAUGCAAGUCGAACGCUUCUUUCCUCCCGAGUGCUUGCACUCAAUUGGAAAGAGGAGUGGCGGACGGGGGAGUAACACGUGGGUAACCUACCCAUCAGAGGGGGAUAACACUUGGAAACAGGUGCUAAUACCGCAUAACAGUUUAUGCCGCAGGGCAUAAGAGUGAAAGGCGCUUUCGGGGGUCGCUGAGGGAUGGACCCGCGGUGCAUUAGCUAGUUGGUGAGGUAACGGCUCACCAAGGCCACGAUGCAUAGCCGACCUGAGAGGGUGAUCGGCCACACUGGGACUGAGACACGGCCCAGACUCCUACGGGAGGCAGCAGUAGGGAAUCUUCGGCAAUGGACGAAAGUCUGACCGAGCAACGCCGCGUGAGUGAAGAAGGUUUCCGGAUCGUAAAACUCUGUUGUUAGAGAAGAACAAGGACGUUAGUAACUGAACGUCCCCUGACGGUAUCUAACCAGAAAGCCACGGCUAACUACGUG